rnacentral:rRNA from 1 species
ACUCCUACGGAAGGCAGCAGGCGCGAAAACUUUACAAUGCUGGCAUCAGCGAUAAGGGAACCUCGAGUGCCAGGUUACAAAUCUGGCUGUCGAGAUGCCUAAAAAGCAUUUCAUAGCAAGGGCCGGGCAAGACCGGUGCCAGCCGCCGCGGUAACACCGGCGGCUCGAGUGGUAACCGUUAUUAUUGGGUCUAAAGGGUCUGUAGCCGGCCGGAUAAGUCUCUUGAGAAAUCUGGCAGCUUAACUGUCAGGCUUUCAGGAGAUACUGUCUGGCUCGAGGCCGGGAGAGGUGAGAGGUACUUCAGGGGUAGGGGUGAAAUCUUGUAAUCCUUGAAGGACCACCAGUGGCGAAGGCGUCUCACCAGAACGGACCUGACGGCAAGGGACGAAAGCUAGGGGCACGAACCGGAUUAGAUACCCGGGUAGUCCUAGCCGUAAACGACACUCGCUAGGUGUCGGCCACGGUGCGACCUUUGUCGGUGCCGUAGGGAAGCCGUGAAGCGAGCCACCUGGGAAGUACGGCCGCAAGGCUGAAACUUAAAUGAAUUGACGG